rnacentral:rRNA from 1 species
UAGGGAAUCUUGGACAAUGGGGGCAACCCUGAUCCAGCCAUGCCGCGUGAGUGAAGAAGGCCCUAGGGUCGUAAAGCUCUUUCGCCUGUGAUGAUAAUGACAGUAGCAGGUAAAGAAACCCCGGCUAACUCCGUGCCAGCAGCCGCGGUAAUACGGAGGGGGUUAGCGUUGUUCGGAAUUACUGGGCGUAAAGCGCGCGUAGGCGGAUUGGAAAGUUGGGGGUGAAAUCCCGGGGCUCAACCCCGGAACUGCCUUCAAAACUCCCAGUCUAGAGUUCGAGAGAGGUGAGUGGAAUUCCGAGUGUAGAGGUGAAAUUCGUAGAUAUUCGGAAGAACACCAGUGGCGAAGGC